rnacentral:rRNA from 1 species
CUCGUCUUCCUUUUCUUAUCCAUUCGUUGCCCAUCCGUAUUCUUAUCCAGCCAGCCGCCCAGGAGGCGAGCUCGUCGUCAUGGCCGCCGGCAAAUCGAUGCGCCUCAUCUGAUUCGUAUGCGGAUCGCCGACGCGGGAUGCACCCUUCUCCAUGGCCGCUCGCAGCCACGGGCGCACUCGUCGCCUUGUCCGCCUUCGCCAGCAGCUGGAUGCGCGCCCUCUCCAUGGCCGCCGCAGCCAGGGUGCGCCCGUCGCCAUGGCCAAGCUGCAAUCGGCCACGGUAGCGGCGAGUUCAUGCUGGAACCAGCUGGUGUAUGUGCUAUAAGGUCGAUGCCUUGCCGGAGGAAGCUACAUCCAGCGGUGAAGAUUGCUGCAUCCAACGCCGUUUGAUGUCGGGAGCUGCAACCAUGCAUGUCGGAGCUGCAACCGGCUACUGGGGGAGCUGCAAGAGGGGUGGCCAUUUGUGCGGACGCGUUUUCUUUUUGCCGAUCCAAUUUUUUGUUUUUGCUGGAACGAUGUAUUUUUUUUUAUGGAACCGAG